GAUGCAUGUUCUGGACUGUCUGCUUACGAACUCAAGCGCCUUGAGAACAUCACGCACAAGGAAGCCUUCUUGUCGUCUCUGAAGAUAUGGCAAGUAUGUGGACAUUUUAGUAAAGGUAGUGGAGGAUCUGAGGCAGUCAGUGAAGCCAAAGCCCAAUGUCAAAAGGUAAAUAAAGCAGUACAAUUAAAAGCAUGGAUCUUUUUACUGUUGGGGCUAAUGGAUGUGGAGUAAACUCUAUCGUUUUAUGUAAUGAUAGGAGCUUUAUAGCAGUAAGUGACGUCAUGGUGCACCUGCGGUUUAUUAGAGUAAUUUCAUUGGAAGAAACCGCUUCAUCAGGAUGGAACUCUUAAAGGGAUAGUUCACCCAAAAAUGAAAAGUUUGUCAUCAAUUACUCACCUUCGUGUUGUUCCAAACCUGUAUCACCUCCAUUCAUCUUUGGAACACAAAUUAAGAUAUUUUGGAUUUAAUCUGAGAGCUUUCUGAUCCUCCCAUAGACAUCACUGAAAAUGCACAUUUAAAGUCCACAAACAUAAAGUCUUUAUUUUUAUAAUUUUUUCAGCCAAAAAGUAUUCUUGUUGCUUUAUCAUGUUAAAAUUGAGUGACCCAUGUCACAUGGACUACAUUAACUAUGUUUUUAGUAGGUUUGUGUAAUUUGAAUGUGCACUUUCAGUGGUGUCUGUGAGAGGAUCAGAUCCAAAAUAUCUUAAUUUGUGUUCUAAAGAUAAACAGAGCUGAUAUGGAUUUGGAACAACACGAGGGUGAGUAAAAAUUUUAUUUUUGGGUAAGUUUCAGGCUUGAUGGACAUACUACACUCAUCCUGACUUGAUUGUCAGAUUAUAAAUUGUUACAUUGGCAGAAAGGUGCACAGCAUUCAUGAGAAGCGUCUCCAUUUUUAGUUAACUUUUUUGAACUGCAUUUUUUUGUGGCAGGUUAAUGGCUUCAUUGGAAGAAAAAUCUCUGCAGUCUCCCCGGAAAUCCCUCCGUUUUAAAAUAAAAAACCUCACCCCAAGUGAAGGGUUGACCCAUAAUCAAGACAUUGAAUCCAGAGAGGCAGAGGAAGACAUGGCAGGAAACACCAUGGGCAUCUACAAAGUACAAUCAGAGGAUCAUGGUCAAGGUGAUGGACGCUUCACUGAUGUCCGUGUUGUGCUGGAAGGUGUGGAGGUUCUCCACAACCUGCAGAGUGUCACUCAUGCAUGGGUUAUGUUAUAUGGCCUGAUCUACGCACUCAAUUUGAACUACCCUAAAAGCCUGAAGUGUACAUUUUGAGGUGUACCAGAAAAUCCUGAUGGACCUGGACUCAACCAAGCUUUCCCCGAAAGUACAGACACUGAAACUGAAAUUGCUCCAGUGAUUUGGCUAAAAAUAAUAACUUAUACAGCCCCUACCCAUUUUUUUUUCACAUUGUGCUCCAACCCAGAGAUAUGUUAAAAUGAUUUCCUAGUUCUAUAAUGAUAUGUUAAUUAGCAACUGAAAAUGGAUCUCUGAGUACAGUUUUAUUUUUUAUUAAAUUUUUUUUUUGGGUGUCCAAGCAGUAUUGUGAUGUUCGAGUGUGGCUGUGUAAGUGGGUUCAUAUGGAUGGUUUCCUAAAUGUUGGCUGAUGUUAACUUGGCUAAAUCCAGAGUUUUGUAUGAAAGACAAAUAUAAAUAAAUCUGGAAUUUUCCAGUUGGUCUAAUUCAAUGUGAUGCAUUGUUUGAUUUGGUUUAGUAUAUAAGCAUACAUUAAACAUGAUUCAAAUAAAUGUUAUUUAUAUUUUUUAGUUACCCCGAUUUAGUUCUC
ensembl:lincRNA